GACAGCAGCAGCCGCGGUAAAACAGAGGGUGCGAGCGUUAAUCGGAUUUACUGGGCGUAAAGCGUGCGUAGGCGGCUUCUUAAGUCGGAUGUGAAAUCCCUGAGCUUAACUUAGGAAUUGCAUUCGAUACUGGGAAGCUAGAGUAUGGGAGAGGAUGGUAGAAUUCCAGGUGUAGCGGUGAAAUGCGUAGAGAUCUGGAGGAAUACCGAUGGCGAAGGCAGCCAUCUGGCCUAAUACUGACGCUGAGGUACGAAAGCAUGGGGAGCAAACAGGAUUAGAUACCCCCGUAGUCCCUGUCUCUUAUAC
rnacentral:rRNA from 1 species